GGACAGAUGUUGAACUGAUUUUUUGAGAAGAUUGAUCAGAAAGUCUUCUACGACUCGCUCAAGACCGCUAUUGAUCAGUGGAUUGAGGUGGAGUUGACUAAUUACGCCGUGGCUGAGAGUACAUUGAUCGAUACAGCCACCCAAGGAAAUGCUGCUCCAUGUUAUAUCCUUUUCAUCGAGAUAACUGGCAGUGUGACAGUCAGUGAGGAUCAAAAGAAAAUGAUUGACACAGAACUUCGAGGCAGUAACUGUAUCUAUGACAGACUCCGAUCAGAUGGUAGGAUAGAUCCACCGAAGAUCCACCUCGUUAGACCAGGAGCGUUCAAUAAGCUCCAGCACUACUCGGUCACCAGUGGUGGAGCUUGUGAUAUCCAGUACAAAGUUCCUAACAAACUGGUCAAGGUUGAACUGGUUGAGAUUUUGAUGGACCAGGUUUAUUAAUCACUGAUAAAGUGAUUAACUUCCAUUUCCCCGUUAUAUACCACUUAGCAUGCUUAGGCCUUAUUGCUUAGUACAUUGUACGCCUUAUAUUUACAGUUUGUCAAGCUAGUGACUGCUAUAUCAUUAGAUGAACGUACCCAGUCAUAGUAGUUGGCUACAUUUACUUGCUUCCCUUCAUGUUGUCAAUGAUUUCUCGAAUCAAACUUCCGUCAAUAUCAAAUUAUAUAAAGAGGUUUCUCAAGUUAUUAUAUUGUGCAGAG